rnacentral:tRNA from 6 species
GCCCGGGUGGCGGAACGGUAGACGCUGCGGACUUAAAAUCCGCUGGCCGCAAGGUCGUGUGGGUUCGAAUCCCACCCCGGGCACCA